rnacentral:rRNA from 1 species
CGUAGGGUGCAAGCGUUAAUCGGAAUUACUGGGCGUAAAGCGUGCGCAGGCGGUUAUGUAAGACAGAGGUGAAAUCCCCGGGCUCAACCUGGGAACUGCCUUUGUGACUGCAUAGCUAGAGUACGGCAGAGGGGGAUGGAAUUCCGCGUGUAGCAGUGAAAUGCGUAGAUAUGCGGAGGAACACCGAUGGCGAAGGCAAUCCCCUGGACCUGUACUGACGCUCAUGCACGAAAGCGUGGGGAGCAAACAGAAUUAGAUACCCUGGUAGUCCACGCCCUAAACGAUGUCAACUGGUUGUUGGGUCUUUACUGACUCAGUAACGAAGCUAACGCGUGAAGUUGACCGCCUGGGGAGUACGGCCGCAAGGUUG